rnacentral:snoRNA from 1 species
AAAGUCGAAGAUGACGAGAUGAUAUCCUUUAUUCUUACUGGAUUGGAUAGUGAAUACAAUCCUAUUGUCACAUCUGUCAUGGGGCAUCUUUGUUGGGCUAUGAGGUAGGCUACGCUAGUGCAAAACAGAAUUUUUCUACC